rnacentral:lncRNA from 1 species
GAGAAAGAGUUAUCACAGCUUUGCCUGAGAAAAAUUGGGUGUCUGGUUUGGAAAGAAGAGAUUGAGCCUGUGUUUUGACUUUAGAUGUCGGUAAAGGGGGAGAAUAAAUAGAUCCAAACAAGGAACAUUUGAAUGAAAUGCAGAUAACUCGUUAGCAAACUUUUGUGGGAAAAAAGUGCCUUGUGCGAUCAGAACAAAGCCGUUUUAUAAUCAGAUUUACCAAGCUGAGAAGAGGGAGUUUCAGCAAAUGGAAGCUUCAGCUUUCUGUCACCAGGAAACACUGCGUUAUCCAGAAUCGGAAUUGUUAAAGCAUACUGACUACAACUGGAGACAAAAAUGGAACCUAAGAAAAUAAAAUCACUUGGGAAGGAUGUGAAUUCAUAUAUCUUUUCUCUUAAAGUUGUUUUGAAAAGAGCCUGGUCUGUUUCUGUCCCUCCUCUGUCAUUGUCCCAAAACUUAUAUGAAGAACUUUCCAGUCUGCAUAGUCUCUGAACAUUUUAUUAUGUUGCAACAUCUCACUACACCAUUUGUUCGCUGAAAGCAUACCCUAGAAUUUGACUGUCCACUACUGAUGACCAUCACUUAGGAAAACAGAGCAGCAGCUGUGUGAUGGAAUGACAAGCUUAUAAAGAACUCAAGAAUGGUUUUCCAUGAUGAGAAGAAGGGAAUGGAAAUUGCUUCUAAGAAACACAAGUUUUACAAUGUGGGUUUUCUAUUCUUUUGGUAAAUAAAUGGAAACUUAGAAAUAAUUUUAGACAGUAGCAAUUCAGGAUAAAAUUUUCAGUGGAUGAGUGGAGGUUUCAAGGGGGAAUUUAUUGUUAUGUUAUAUAUACUAGAGACUUUCAUUAAGAAAUUAAGUAGUUUACAUUAAUAGAAAAGGAAUACAAGUGAAGCAAAAAUCAAUGCCUGUGUAUAAUUAAUUGUUUAAUAGUCAAUUGUCAUAAUGUAAUGAGUUUUUGUCACCUAGUGCUGAAUCUAAUGAAAAUAAAGCAGAUUGUACUGUC